AGAGUUUGAUCCUGGCUCAGGAUGAACGCUGGCGGCGUGCUUAACACAUGCAAGUCGAACGAUGAUCCGGUGCUUGCGCCGGGGAUUAGUNNCGAACGGGUGAGUAACAGAGUUUGAUCCUGGCUCANGAUGAACGCUGGCGGCGUGCUUAACACAUGCAAGUCGAACGAUGAUCCGGUGCUUGCGCCGGGGAUUAGUGGCGAACGGGUGAGUAACACGUGAGUAACCUGCCCUUGACUCUGGGAUAAGCCUGGGAAACUGGGUCUAAUACCGGAUAUGACUCCUCAUCGCAUGGUGGGGGGUGGAAAGCUUUUUGUGGUUUUGGNNGGACUCGCGGCCUAUCAGCUUGUUGGUGGGGUAAUGGCCUACCAAGGCGACGACGGGUAGCCGGCCUGAGAGGGUGACCGGCCACACUGGGACUGAGACACGGCCCAGACUCCUACGGGAGGCAGCAGUGGGGAAUAUUGCACAAUGGGCGAAAGCNUGAUGCAGCGACGCCGCGUGAGGGANNACGGCCUUCGGGUUGUAAACCUCUUUCAGUAGGGAAGAAGCCCUCUUUGGGGGUGACGGUACUUGCAGAANAAGCGCCGGCUAACUACGUGCCAGCAGCCGCGGUAAUGCGUAGGGCGCAAGCGUUAUCCGGAAUUAUUGGGCGUAAAGAGCUCGUAGGCGGUUUGUCGCGUCUGCUGUGAAAGACCGGGGCUCAACUCCGGUUCUGCAGUGGGUACGGGCAGACUAGANNGCAGUAGGGGAGACUGGAAUUCCUGGUGAAGCGGUGAAAUGCGCAGAUAUCAGGAGGAACACCCAUGGCGAAGGCAGGUCUCUGGGCUGUAACUGACGCUGAGGAGCGAAAGCAUGGGGAGCGAACAGGAUUAGAUACCCUGGUAGUCCAUGCCGUAAACGUUGGGCACUAGGUGUGGGGGACAUUCCACGUUUUNCCGCGCCGUAGCUAACGCAUUAAGUGCCCCGCCUGGGGAGUACGGCCNNAAGGCUAAAACUCAAAGGAAUUGACGGGGGCCCGCACAAGCGGCGGAGCAUGCGGAUUAAUUCGAUGCAACGCGAAGAACCUUACCAAGGCUUGACAUGGACCGGAAAGACCUGGAAACACCUGCCCCGCUUGCGGCCGGUUUACAGGUGGUGCAUGGUUGUNNNCAGCUCGUGUCGUGAGAUGUUGGGUUAAGUCCCGCAACGAGCGCAACCCUCGCUCUAUGUUGCCAGCGGUUCGGCCGGGGACUCAUAGGAGACUGCCGGGGUCAACUCGGAGGAAGGUGGGGACGACGUCAAAUCAUCAUGCCCCUUAUGUCUUGGGCUUCACGCAUGCUACAAUGGCCGGUACAAAGGGUNNCGAUACUGUGAGGUGGAGCUAAUCCCAAAAAGCCGGUCUCAGUUCGGAUUGGGGUCUGCAACUCCACCCCAUGAAGUCGGAGUCGCUAGUAAUCGCAGAUCAGCAACGCUGCGGUGAAUACGUUCCCGGGCCUUGUACACACCGCCCG
rnacentral:rRNA from 1 species